rnacentral:rRNA from 1 species
GACAAACGCUGGCGGCGUGCCUAAUACAUGCAAGUCGAACGGGGAAAGCUUUCGGGUGAGUACUAGUGGCGCACGGGUGAGUAACGCGUGGAUAAUCUGCCUUAGAGUGGGGGAUAACUAGUCGAAAGAUUAGCUAAUACCGCAUAAGACCACAAGAACUGCGGUUCAAGGGGUCAAAGGUUUUUCGCUCUAAGAUGAGUCCGCGUAAGAUUAGCUAGUUGGUAGGGUAACGGCCUACCAAGGCGACGAUCUUUAACUGGUCUGAGAGGAUGAUCAGUCACACUGGAACUGAGACACGGUCCAGACUCCUACGGGAGGCAGCAGUAAGGAAUAUUGCACAAUGGAGGAAACUCUGAUGCAGCGACGCCGCGUGAGUGAUGAAGGCCUUCGGGUCGUAAAGCUCUGUCGCAGGGGAAUAACACAAUGAAGGUACCCUGUAAGAAAGGAUCGGCUAACUUCGUGCCAGCAGCCGCCGUAACAC